GAAUUAAGCGAGUACCAAGAUACGCAGGAAAAUUUAGAGCAAAAGCUUAAAACAAGGGAUGAAGAGAUCGCCGAGUUGCAGCAUAAAAACA